AGGAUAAACGCUGGCGGCGUGCCUAACACAUGCAAGUCGAACGCGCUUUCGGGCUUCGGUGCGAGAGCGAGUGGCGGACGGGUGAGUAACACAUGGGUACCUACCUUGGAGUGAGGGAUACCGGCGAGAAAUCGCCGACAAGACCGCAUAGCCUCGGUGCAAGCCGAGGAAAGCUUUCUCGAGAGAGGGAGCGCCACACGAGGAGCCUGCGCCCGAUUAGCUAGCUGGUGGAGUAACGGUUCACCAGGGCGACGAUCGGUAGCUGGUCUGAGAGGACGAUCAGCCACACUGGGAUUGAGAACGGCCCAGACUCCUACGGGGGGCAGCAGUGAGGAAUUUUCGUCAAUGGGGGCAACCCUGAACGAGCAACGCCGCGUGCAGGAAGAAGGUUUUCGGAUCGUAAACUGCUUUUCUCGGGGAAGAGAACGGACGGUACCCGAGGAAUCAGCCCGGCUAACUACGUGCCAGCAGCCGC
rnacentral:rRNA from 1 species